rnacentral:lncRNA from 1 species
CAGGGGAGUCCGCCACGACAGCUGGCGGGGUCCGGGAGGGCGGAGCCGAGUCCAGCCCCCUCCCGACGGGAAUGCUCUCGGGCUCCCAGGAUCGUGGUGGGCGACGACGGCAGAGGCUGCGCCAUCACCGUGACAGGAGGGGGUUCACCCCAGGCGAACGGCCAUGACGGUGGCAGAGUCGAGGCGGACGGCGCCGAAGGAGGCAGCGCCAUCCAAACAGCAGGUGGCGCUGAGUGCAAGGCCACCAGUCCGGCAGAUGAGGUGGGAACAGACGUGGAGACGUGGUCGGCGCCGACCACCAGAAACCCAUGGAGACGCGGUCGGCGCCGGACCACCAGGAACCCGUGGAGACGCGGUCGGCGGACCACCAGGAACCGAUGCAUACGCGGUCGGCGCCGGACCGCCAGGAACCGAUGCAGACGCGGUCGGCGCCGGACCGCCAGGAACCCGUGGAGAUGCAGCCGGUGCCGGACCGCCAGGAACCGAUGCAGGUGCGGCCGGAGCCGAGCCGCCAGGAACGACCUCCUCCUGGAGGCCGACAGGGGACUGCGACGGGACUCCUGGAGGUCGGCGGGGACUGCGACAGGAACUCCAGCUGGCGAGACCACCUCCUGGAGGUCGGCGGGGACUGCGACAGGAACUCCAGCUGGCGCGACCUCCUCCUGGAGGUUGGCGAGGGCUGCGGCAGAAACUCCAGCUGGCGCGACCUCCUCCUGGAGGUCAGCGGGGGCUGCGACAGAAACUCCAGCUGGCGUGACCUCCUCCUGGAGGUCGGCGGGAACUGCGGCAGAAACUCCAGCUGGCGUGACCUCCUCCUGGAGGUCGGUGGGAACUGCGGCAGAAACUCCGAGGCCGACAGGAGCGGGCGCUAGAACGGCGUCCUCGCGGGAGCCGACAGGAGCGGGGGCUAGAACGGCGUCCUCGCGGGAGCCAACAGGAACGGGGACUGAACGACCUCUACAUGGUCGACGGGAACAGGAACGACUUCUACAUGGCCGACAGGAACAGAAACGACCUCUACAGGGCCGACGGGAACAGGAACAACCUCUACAGGGCCGACGAGAACAGGAGCGGCGUCCCCACUGGAGCCGGCAGUGCUGCUCUCUGACUCCUCACUGGAGCCGGCAGUGCUGCUCUCUUACUCCUCACUGGAGCCGGCAGGGGCUGAGACGGCGUCUACUCUGGAGCCGGCAUGGCUGCUUGCAGCUGCCGAGCUCGACAGAGUAG